rnacentral:rRNA from 1 species
UACGUAGGCAGCAAGCGUUGUUCGGAGUUACUGGGCGUAAAGGGUGUGUAGGCGGUUGUUUAAGUUUGGUGUGAAAUCUCCCGGCUCAACCGGGAGGGUGCGCCGAAUACUGAGUGACUAGAGUGCGGGAGAGGAAAGUGGAAUUCCUGGUGUAGCGGUGAAAUGUGUUGAUAUCAGGAGGAACACCCAUGGCGAAGGCAGCAGACUGGGCAUCGCCUGACGCUGAGGUGCGAAAGCGUGGGUAGCAAACAGG